rnacentral:lncRNA from 1 species
GAAAAAUAGCAGAAUCAUAAAACAAAAUAAUAGAAAUAGCCUCUUUAAAGAAAGUUUUAUUCUUGAUAUUUGUAGGUACAACAUCCUCAGCCUUCCUGAGUUUGUUUUGCUUUGCUUUGUUUUAAGUAGAACUGACGAUGGUCCCGUCUCUACGCAGGAAAUUGGAUUCAGUGAGUGACAGCCGCAGCCACACAGAGAGUCCUUAAGUGGCAAUCCAUUUCUAACACUGAGCCUCUAGACAUCACAGUAAUCCUGGCAAUAUGAGAGAGCGCGCCAGAUCAAAGCCCAUUUGGAGAAAAAAAGAAAAUAAUCCCAAACUGUUCCUUUGAUGUCACAUUAGGCCAUUAAUAUACAUCACAUCUGUUUAAUUUAAAACUUCUGCCCAGUGCUGGUAUGACUUAAUUGCACACCUCUUGAGACCCAGCAUUAAGUUACUGUGUACUUGGAUGGGAAACAAGAUUUGUACUGUAGGUAAUGAUGAGGUUUAGAGUCAAGUCCACCGUCAUGCGUUCUCUGUACUUUCCACUGCCUGACUGCAUGUUCCUCAUAAAUAACGUCUUCAGUUGAUGAGAGGACCAUAAACUCGUCCAAAGACAGGUCUCUUCGCCCUGUUCUGCUCCCUUCCUGGACACUGCCUUUUGAUUCCCUAGAGUACAAUGAGAAGUCUGUGAAGUAAGUGCCUUUCUUUUCUCUCUCAGUGGGCUGGUCAUCUCCUUCCUGCCUUACUCUGCCUCAUGUUGGAAGGAGUGGGGGCAGUUGUUAGGUUUUUAACAACAUCUUUAAAAUCCAGUCAUCACUCAGACUAUCAUCUCUAUUCACAUUCCAAGUAUUUUUAGAGCAUGGUCCUGUUUUUUGAUUAUAGAAAGUUUCUCUUAGAGAUUUUACCAAGCUUUGUGCAAAAACUGGAGGAAGAGUUGAAAUAAUCAAAAAUAAUUUAAAAAGACACAGGGCUUAAAAAUUAUACAAACUGGCAUCAUCAACUGUGUUUACCUCUAGCCAACUUGGGAAAUGCAGCAAUGGUAUAUCACAUUUUAGAAGAAAACAGCUCAUGUUUUCGCCUCUUGUCUCCAUAGGAAAGCAGGAGAAACAGCUGGACAUUCAUAGAAAGAAACUGGAAGGAAUAACCACAGGUGCCUGAGAGGGAGUAAAGUUAUGUGAACAGAGAAAUGUACGUUGCGUCUUGGAGCACAGAGGAGGGCACCAAACCUAAGAGCAGGUGCCCAAGAAGGCAAAGCAGAGCAGAUACAGAACCAAGGCCUUGGGUUCCAAAAUGCCCAGGGGAACGUCCUGGGGCGAUCUCGAGCUGGGAUCAGAAGAGGAAGUGUGUGCAGCUUUGACUCUCGUUCCACAGUGGGCUUGUCCCCCACAGGGUGGGCUCUGCCUGACCCGGACGAGGCUCCAUUUCACCUGAUGGGAACAAGCAAAGAGAGACAGAGCGUGGAGAGCAGCUUCCAGAUCGGGGAGAGGGAAACAUCCUCCAAAGCAGCCCCAGAUUCCUGAACCGUGUCCAGCCCUUGCGGAAAAGAUGCAGUUCGGGCUGCAAUUCAAGUCAACUUCUGAGGAGCUUCAAAAGCUCGGACUUGGCAAUUCAAUUCAAAAGGCUCUUCCAAGCUCUUCCUAUUCAACGGCGACUUCUAAGGCAAAGUCAUUGUUUACAGCCUGGCGGAGUUGGAACAUUGUAGAAAAAACAACUUGUGACGGUUGGAGCUUAUAACCACCCUCGGACUUGAGCCGGAGGCGAGUCUGAGGAGCUUCCAGCUCGGCGGCCCGCCUGGCUGCUGCGGGCCCAGUGGAUGUCUGCGUGUGACGCUGAGGGCAAACGCUCUUGCUCUCUCUCAGUUCCCUGCAAACCAUCAACAUACAGAGCAGAGAAUUUCAGAAUCACAUCCCCUGGUAGAGCGCAAAUGAGCAGAAGGGGAAAGAGAAAUGCAGUGUGAUGCACGUACUCCAUCGUGUUUGCGGUCGGGUUACCCUGUCCUUGGAUAAGAAGUUUAUAUUCUCCGGAAAAAGUUUGCCAGCCCCUAGUGUGGAGUGUUAGUUCUCAAAGUCUCUUCUAUGGAAUCGUCUCCCAGGGUGCUCUGCAUAAAAAAGGCUUCCAUGGUCAGAUAAGUUUGGCAGAGUAUGCAUGCCACAACUCACUCUCAGAUAAUCAUUGUCUACAUUGGCAUAUUAAAGGAUCUGAGAAGUCAUGUAGUAAAUAAGUCAACUGUUUUAAGCCAGUUUCCAAUGCUCAUUUGACCUCAAGAACAAUGUCUCUCCAUUCCCUUCCCUUUCACAUUACACCCAUAAGCUUCCCAUGGGACUGAAAGAAAUUCUAGCCCAGGACAUUUGAGUUGGGACCUCCUUACAGGUGGGAAGUAUUUUCAAGCUUGGAUUGGACACGGUCCCACAGCACUCACUGCAUGUCGAAGGAAUGUUGGAAAUCAUUUUGUCCAAUCGUCUCAUUUGACAGAUUGACAGACGGAGAUCGAUCAUGGUCUUGUAGCUUGGCUACAGGCUACUUCUUCUACCUGGAAAGCUCUUCUUCUGGUCAUCUAUAUAUCUUAAUCUCUUGCCUCUUGCAGGUGUUGGCUCAGAUGUCACCUUCCCAGUGGUGCCUUCCCUGACACCCUAAUGAAAACUGAAACCCUUUUUCCUGGCACUCUUUAGCUACCUUUACUGUGUUAUUUCCUCUCAUAGCACUUAUCACUGUCUAACACACCCUGCAUUGACAUAUUUUUAAAAAAUUAUAUGUCACCCUUCAUUAGAAUAUAAACUCCUAGGGAUUUUGUCUGUUUCGUUGUAUCCCAGGGCCUAGAAUGGCGUAUGACUCACAUACAUUGUAUUCAAUAUGUAUCACUGUACUUAUUAGUGGCAGAACCAGGGCUUGUUCCCAGACCUCCUGCAUCUUCUGGCAGAAAAGCAAGUGAGGUAAUAGAUUGAAUGUGAGCUCUUAGCAUCAUGUAUGUUUAGAUUCAAAUCCUAAUGCUGGCAUUUAGUAGCCGUUGCAAUUUGGACUAGCUUUCUCCUAGACACCAUUGGUAUAAACAAGGCACAGGUUUAUUUCUACUCCACUCUUGUGAUAAAGAGGUCCAGGGCUGAUAUGGCCACUCGACAGCCAUCAGGGACCCAAGCUCCUUUCACCUGUUUGCUCCACCUUCCUCAGAGCAUGGUUUCCCUUCCCGGGUUUUCCUGGCUGUGGGAGCUCCAGUCUCACAUCCAUAUUGCUGGCAGGAGGAAUAAUUCAGUUUCCUCUAAAGAGUCUUCCCACUGACUUCUGCUUCUCUCUCCUUGAUCAUCCCUGGGCUGGGAAAUGUAGUAUUUAGGAUGGGCGUGUUGCUAAUCCCAAUAAAACUUUCCUCUGAUGAUAAUGAAAAGGGAAAGAAUGGAUAUUGGGAAGGUAACUAGUAGUCUUCGACAUAGUAGCUGCGUAACGUUGGGCAGAUUACUUAAUGAUGUCCACCUUGUAGAGGGUGUUAGUUUCCGAGGGCUGCUACAACAAAAGGCCACAGGCUAGAUGCCUUAAAACAACAGAAAUUUAUUGUCUCGCAGUUCAGGAGGCCAGAAGUCUGGAAUCAAGGUGUCAGCGGGGUUGAUUCCUUGCUGGAGGCUCUGAGGGAGAAGCCGUCCUCUCGUUCAGCUUCUGGGGGUUGCUGGGGGGGGCGGUAGAUUUUUCCUUGACCUUUAUAGUGUCCCUGGCUGGAUCUGAAAGUUAAACUGACAAAGACAGGUGAACAGGAGGAAAGCAUACAGAUUUAUUUAGUGUAAGUUUUAUGUGACACAGGAACCUCCAUAAGGAAAUGAAGACCUGAAGAAAUGGUUACCCUGGUGUGUUUUUCUGCUAGGUUUGAUGAAGAGUGGAAAGAUAGAGUUAUGGGACAAGGCGUGUGUGGGAUGCGCAGUAAACUAGGGGAAGCUUAGCGAGGCCAGCUUGUCUGGAUUCUUGUGUCCCUUUGUCUUUGAGACAUAAGGAUGGUCCUCUCCUCUGAGGAUAGGGGAGGCUCCUCUCAUGGGAGAGUUUUAUGACCUGCUUCAGGGGAGGAGGGCAGGGUGUGGGUAAGGGGGUUAGAGGGCCGUUUUUGCUUUUACUGUUUUCUCAAACUCUCAGCUUAAAAUAUUCACCAUGCCUAGGUGCCAUAUUUUGGUGUUGUGCAUCCUGAACGCCACCACAGGCAGUCUUUGGCCUUCCUUGGUGUGCAGGCCCGUUGUUCCAAUCUCUGCCUCAUCUUCUCUGUGUCUCCACGUGCCCUUUUCCGUGUCUUAUAAGGACUCUCUCAUUGGAUUUAGGGCCCCAUGUAAAUACAGUACGUACCUAAUCCAGUAUGAUCUCAUCUCAGUCCUCACCUUAGUUACAAGCAAAGACCCUAUUUCCCGAUAAGGUCACAUGCUGAGGUUCCAGGUGGACAUGACUUUUUUGGGGGGGUACUAUUCAAUGCAUUAGGUGGAGUUAUUGUGAUAAUUAAAGAUUAUGGCUAUAAAGUGUGGGCACAGCCUGUCGUGUCAGGAAAAUAGAUCUUUUUACUGAGAAGUGAGUAUGAAAUUACAGACACGUGACAAAACACUUUUUUGGAAGUUAUAGUAUGAAAAGGCAAUACCUUUUCUGACUUUUUAUGCAUGUUUAUAUGUGGUUUCAUGCACACAUCGCAGACAUUUAGUUCUGUAACUGAGUUAAUCCUGAGGAUGAAACUUGGGGAAAAGUAGCUGUUGGACCUGAGAAAUAGCAUUCACCUGUACCGUGUGGAAGAAUGUUAGGAAAAUUCCUGGAAGUGCAUGUGGCAGGUAGGUGGCUUUUGGCCUGCUCAAAAUCAUUCUGCUCUUUCUAGGAGGUGCCCCAGCUGGGCCAGUGCCCCAGGACUGCCCCAAGGCCACAGCUGUUUGGUCUAGGAUGAGCCUGAUCCCAGUCUAUCAGAGACUCUUUGUAAAGAAUCUGGAAUUUUGAACUACUGCUGUCAAGAGAGGGUGACUGGAGCUGAGCCUUGCUGCUGCAGCUUCUGGUCCUGCUUCCUGCUUGCUCCCAGGGCAAACCCAGAGCCUUCCAGUUUGUUUGUGCUUUGGAGGUUGUUGAAUCUGGUGCGGGUCAUUUUCUGCAACCCACAGAACCUUAACUGAUAAAAUAUUGAAGUCUCAGAGACUAAACCCAACAUACAAAGGACAGUAUACAAAUUACAGAUGAUAUCUACUUUCGUAUGUUUUCCUUCUAAAUAAACAUAUCUAUUUAAUUUUUCUGAUCUUGAAAUCAUUGAUGAAUAGCACAAAGCUGAUUUUAAAGCAAUCUUCAUUUUAGGGGUAAACUUGAGCACAUUAAAAUGUGCCGGGGGGACCAAGCUCUCUUAAGAGUGUCAUUAGACCUUUAAGUAUCAAGCCUCCUGUUCAUCUGAACUCUGGGAAGGUGGAGCUAAAAGAGCCAGGGCAGAUGCAAAUGAAACUGGCACAGACGCUGGGAUUUCUGCUCAGAUCUUCACGUUCCUUUUACUGUCUAUUAUUUGGCUUGAAAACCUGUGGCCCAGAACAUAAGAAAGAUAAAACAGAAUGGAAGCUAAAGUGACCAAAUUUUAUAGUAAAAAUCUGCACCAAAGUGAUUGUGUGGACACUUUAUCUAUUUGGAACCAAGAAAUUAAAGAAGAAAAGGCUACACAAGGUAUUUACUUUCUUAACAUAUGUAUUUAUGUAUUUAACGUAUUUGCUGCAUUUUGAAUUAUAUUCAAAUUGUUUAAUGUGAUGAUAUUUGUUGGUGGUAUUUUUAGUAAAAUAGAAAUAAAGGUAGUUUUUGCCGUGGCAGCGUAUUUCCUUCGAGCAUCUCUGAGAAUGGGGGUAGAGGAGAAUGUGAAAGGAUCUGAGACAAUCCUGGCAUAGGGAGAGAUGGACAGUGGCACUUCUCUUUGGCCUCCUGGUGUCCCGAGACUGCAUGUAGUGUGAUGGACAUUUCUCAGGUUUACAUGUAACGGUCAGGGCUACCUGGUCUAUCUGACAGUAUUUCCUUUCCCGUCAAAUUUUUAUAUUUUUAAAAUGUACUUUAGCUGCUGAGGAUAAAGGUGCAAGUCAUUUUGUGAAAGGCAUCUUCCAGCUUUUUUAAAGUUUGUGCCUUACUACUUGACCUUUAAUGAAUGCUUUUAUAUAUAUUAUAAGAUAUAAUCUAUAGGUUAUGCUCAGAUUAGUAUUUCAUUAUAAUCAUGCAUAACAUGCUUACACAAUUGUUUCAAAAAGUAGAAUUGUUGUGGUCCCCAUCUAGAGGUGAGAUAGACCUUUUCCUUCCCCCUAAACUUGGUUUGGGUGUGUAGACUGAUGAUGCCAUACCAACACCAAGAGGGUACGAAAGGUUUAUUACUCACAUAAUGAGGCUUUCUGGGGAGAACAGGGCGGCUUCCCAGCAGGUCUGAGAAUGGCUUGAGAGGGCAGGGAGAGGAGACUGACCCUGCUUUCAUUGUGAUUAGGGGCUGGGAGCUCUUGUGGGCCAGAACUGCAAUGGUUGGAACUUCCCUUGGUGCCAAAGGAGGAGGCACCGGGGAUUUCUUAUCAGCUUUCCCAGAUGUGGGGCAGAAGGAGGGGGAAGUGGCCAGGCUGGAAAGCUGUCAGCAAACAUCAAAGUUUUUAUUAUAAGACUAAAAGACUUAAAAUUUCAUGUUUAUUAAUAAUAAAAUGUUUAAUGUGUACCUUAUUAUAUUUUUUCUCGUGAUGUUCAAUAACAUAAGAAAAUCAUUCAAGCAGCUUAAAAAAUUAGUAUAUGGUCCUAGAAAUUGUAAAAAGUGAGGAAAAUGAAAGUACUUGAGGUAGUAUAAAGUAGUUAAAAAAUACCAUACGAAAGGAAAUUUCAGGCUGGUUCAUUCAGGAGCCACUUUACCGAACAUGUAAUGUGUCCAUCUUUUCUCUGUGAAAAGAAAAUUUUCACUUCAAAAAAAAAAAAAAAAGCAAACAAGUAGCUCAGUGUAUUAUCUUAUUUUGGGCUUCCAAGUUUGAGACUGUUACUGAACCUGAAGUGAAUUCGCUCAUUUGUUGCGCAGCAAGCCAAUCUCUGACACCGGGUGUGGUGGAAGAAAGUAGGAAUUUUAUUUUUGCACAGCGCUGAGCAAGGAGAGAGGGCAGCUAACGCUGAAAUCCCAAACUCCCCGAAAAGCUAAUAGGAAGGGUUUUUAUUUGGGGCUUUAGGUAGGGGAGCGGGAGCAUAUGGCCUUUCUGGUCAGAGCUUUCCCACCAGCCUGUCUUCGGCCUUGAGACACUUGCAGAGAGGAGGAAGCCCAUGACCUUGCUGGUCAGCAGCUUUCCCACCAGCCCGUAUCUCUUUGCGGGAGGAGAUAGUCCAGGUGCUGGUCCUUGACGGUGUCUGUCUCCAUGGAGGAUAGUGGAUUCUGGAGCCAGGAAGCCAGGGAGCAAGCAGGGAAUGAGUGUUUUAGUUUUAACCCCAUAUAUGCUGGGUUUAAUGUGGGGAAACAUAUCAGGGUCGAUACCAAGACGUCUGAAGUAAACCAACUGCUGAGGGCUACACUACCAACGUGGGGCUUGGGGCGUGACUGUGCCUCGUUAGAAUGUGAGUCUCCCUACGGCUGAGACUUCGAGUCUCUCUUGGUCCCCCUUUGGGGUUAGUACCUGGCACAGAGUAGACACAGUAUAAACGCAGUAUAAACGCUGGAGGGUUGGAUAGAGGGAUGGUAAGUUCAAGGGAGUUGCCACUAGAUGGCAAUGUUUACUCGGAUCUCUGCUGAGAAUCUUCACAGCAUCAAAACUAGGGAGAAAGCGCGGUGGCUCUGCCGCAGGAUCCCAUCAACCACGCAUGCCCCAACCUCCCAGAUCCAGCCCCCUCGCGGGUGCUCCUGCAGCCCCAACAACCUUCUAAAAUUCUAGCGGUUAGACAAUCAUGAGAUAUUCUCUUUAUAAGUAACCUUAGAUAUUAUCUGUUCUAUUCCGACUCCCACAUUUUUCACUCCAGCGAAAUGGGGGCCAGCCAAAAUCAGCAAUUGAUUUAGUUCAGAUGUCUCAAACUUGGGAGCCAAAAAUAAAGAUAAUACACUGAACCACUUGUUCGUUAAAAACAAACAGACGAACGAAACACAAAAACCCACAAGAAUCUCCGGUAGGGGAGACUUCUACCCGGCCCCUGGCAAUUACACUGUUUCCCGGUCUGCUCCUGCUCACCCACAAAGUCCGUCUCUGCAGUCACUCCUGGAGAAGUUUUCUGCAAAUCAGCCAGCUCUGCCCCUUUGAUCCUCACGCCUGAUCUCUUUCUGCAUUUGGCCUCAGGCCCAGCUGACCUGGCUUUUUUUCUUAUUGUAAGUGGCAGUUUUUUUAAUCUGAAAAGUACUAGUGCAAAUCCCAUUGUGUCUUCCGUGGCACACCGAGGUUUCUAUUUUAUCUAAUCCUGGCAUUUAAUAGCACCAGAGCCGCUCUGCUAUAUUCAGUCCUGUGUUGGUCACAUUUCCAUGCGUUUUAACAACCUCUCAAAAUGCACCUUUUCACAUAGAAGUAGAGUAAGUCCAAUCUAGCCAUCAUUCGUUAAGCAUUUAUUACAUGUAUAUUAAUAGAAACAGGCUCUAUAUUUGUCUAUAAAAACAAAUAGCGUUCUAUUCUUAAAAAUUAGAAGUGCAUGGCCAGCCCCGGUGACCUAGUGGUUAAGUUCAGUAAACUUUGCUUCAGUGGCCCAGUUCAGUUCCCCAGUGUGGACCUACACAGCUCUGUCAGUGGCCAUGCUGUGCUGUCGGCCCACAUACUAAAAAACAGGAGAAGAUUGGCAUGGAUGUUAGUCCAGGGCCAAUCUUCCUCAGCAAAAAAUUAAAAAAAUAAAAACUAGGAGUGCAAUCAGAUAAAGUACAAUAAAAUACAUGAAAUGCAUUGUAAUUUAGUGAAAAUAAGUAGCAUGGUGUUUGGUUAGAGAGAAAUGAAAAAUUAUUCUGGAAUACAGAUCAUUGCAGCACUGAGCCUUUAUCUACAAAAUAGGAAUGCUCAUGCCCACCUCCCAGGCUAGUGUGAAAAUUCAGGGUGAAAGAAAGAAAAAAAAAUACAUAUAUGUAUAUAUAUAUAAAUGAUUUACUACAGUCCCUGGUCUACAGUAGGUACCUGAUAAAUACUAGUUCCCUUCCACUUUGUAAUAGAGGUGUUUUUUUUUUUUGAGGACGAUUAGCUCUGAGCUAACAUCUGCUGCCAAUCCUCCUCUUUUUGCUGAGGAAGACUGGCCCUGAGCUAACAUCCAUGCCCAUCUUCCUCUACUUUAUAUGUGGGACGCCUGCCACAGCACGGCCUGACAAGUGGUGCGUAGGUGCACACCAGCGGGCUGCCGAAGCAGAACGUGUGAACUUAACCACUGCACCAUGGGCUGGCCCAGUAAUAGAGGUUUAACCAAAGUUUUGUGGGGACACAGAGGAAGAAGCGGCUAAUUACAAGAGUUUCCUGAAAACUCUGCAAAGAAAGUAAUAUUGGUGUUGGCGCUAGAAGGGCGAAUGGGAAUUUGGAGGCACAAAAGGAGGAGAAAGUUCCAGGCAGAGAUCAAAGCAAAUAGAUUGAAAGGUGCGUCUGUUGGGUCCUCUGGAAAGCAGAUGCUGAGGCAGUUAGGAGUGCAAGAGGCUUAUUGAGAAGUAAUGUCUGUGAAACAUGAGAGGGACUGGGGAAGCACUGUGAAGCAGGCGGUCUCAGACCACAGUGCAGAUCUGAGUCUCCACCCACCCAACAGGGGGCGCUGGAGCAAGAUUGCAAGUUAGAGGAGUCCUGCAUCUGGCAGAAAUAUCCAGGCCCUGUGCCCCUCCAAGGAAGAGCAUGACCUUCGCUCAAAUGUGGCAGAGCCUGAAGGCAGUAACAGCUGGAGGCUGUCAGCUUACUGCACUUUUGGCAACGGAACAGCAAGAUUUUUCCUGAAGGGAGAUCUGAGGAGCACUCCUCAUGUCUGCUGUCACAAGAAGUAUUUUGUUAUACUUCCUUCUAAGACUUUCAGAGUGCCACUAAGCCCAGACACUGUGCCAGGCACUUAUUUCAUUUAUUCUCAGCAGCCGCAUGAGACGGGUAAUAUCCUCACUUUACAGAUGAGCAAAGUGUGUUUCAGUCCAUGCUUUUCCCAAGCUGCCUGCUCAGAGCUAUGCCGGUGGUGGCUGUUGGAACCGACAGAAGGUACUUCCUGGAGCGGACCGAGGGGGAGAUUGGGAUGCGGUGUUGCACAAGCUGAGAAUAAGCUGGAACUGGCAGAUUCUAGUCAAAAUGGUAGUGACCACGGUCGUUUCCAUGGCUUCCCACUGGACUCCGAAUAAAGUGCAGACACCUUUCCAUGGCCUCCAAGGCCCUGACUGAGCCUCCAGCCCAGUCCUUCUCAACUGGGGGUAAUGUUGCCCCCCAGGGGCCAUUUGGCAAUAUCUGGUGACUUUUUUUGUUUGUUUAAGGAAAAUUAGUCCUGAGCUAACAUCUGCCGCCAAUCCUCUUCUUUUUGCUGAGGAAGAUUGGCCCUGAGCUAACAUCGGUGCCCAUCUUCCUCUGUUUUAUAUGUAGGACACCUGCCUCAGCAUGGCCUGACAAGCAGUGUGUAGGUCUGCACCCAGGAUCCGAACUGGUGAACCCUGGGCUGCCGAAGCAGAAUGUGCGAACCUAACCGCUGCACCACCGGGCUGGCCCCUGUCUGGUGACAUUUUUGAUUUGUCAUAACUGCAGAGGAGAGAGUGUAACUGAUAGCUAGGGAGUAGAGGCCAGGGAUCCUGCUAAACAUCUCACAAUGCACAGGACAGCCCCCACAGCACAGAAUCCUCCAGCCCAAAAUGUCAAUAGUGCUGCCUGAGAAAACCUGCUCGGACCACUUCUCCUGCCUCUCUCCCCUCAUUCACCACACUCCAGCCACACUUCCUCAGAGAUGCCAAGGCCUUUCACACCCUAGGGCUCAGCACACAUUGUCUCUUUCUAGAAGCUCGUCUUCCCCCUUCACAUGACUUAGUCCUCCCUCAGCUCUCAGCUCAGAUGCGUCUUCCUAGGAGAGCAGCCUGACAACCUUCCACAGUACGUCCUCCCCACCUCUCCUGCCAUUUUCUCUUGCGUCACCCUGUGGCCUCUCUCCAUUACACUCACCACAGUGGGUAAAUCCAGAUUUAUUUCAUUGUUGACUUAUUUAUGGUCUUUCUUUCUCCCUGUACUAUAAACUCCAAACACUAUAUUCCCACCGGUGAGCAAAGAGCUUAGCAUUUUGUCCAUGCUCAAAUGUAGUUGUUGAGUGAAUUAAUGACAUUACCCAGAAGAUGCCUUGGUUUGGGGAAGCUCAAUCCCAGACGCACUUAUAGAGUGAAUUUAAUUGCAGUUUAGUUACAGUGUGGCAUUUGUCAUUUAUUUUGUUAUUGAUUGUCCCACAUUUUUGGUCAUCAAAGUUUUUUUUCAGAGACUGUCUUAGAAUAUUUGCUUUGCCAUGUAGAAUAUCUCAUUUUACAAGGUGAAUUAUGAAUGAAAUAAAAGUAAGAUUUACACAUCUUUUCAUGACCUUUCUUGCCCCCAUGCAUCCCCCUCCUGUGCUCAGCCUGGCUCUCUCAGCCCUCGCUGCACACAGCAGGCAGGCUUCUUGUUCCUCCAGAGCCCCAGGCUCCCUCCCCUCCAGGCCUCUUCACCUGCUGUUCCUCCACAAGCGCCAUUCCCUGGACCUCCCCUCGUGGCUCACUCUCUUAUUUCCGGUCUCAGCUCAAAUAUCAGAUAUCCCCGUAGGGGCUGCCCCCACCAUCCCUCUAGAAUAAUCAGUGCUCUCUAUCUCCUACCCUCCUCUCUUUUCUUUCAGAGCAUGUCCACUGCUUGUUUAUUUGUGCAUUGUCUGUCUUCCCAACUAGAAUGUAAGCUCGCUGAGGGAGGACUUUGCCCGUCUUGUUUUUGGCUGCAUUCCCAGUCCCUAGAAUGGAGCCUUAGUAAAUACUGUUGAAUGAAUAGAUCAGUAUAUGAGUUCUGGGAUGCAGAGAAAGGUACACAAUACCUGUAACAGAAGAGAGCAGACUCUGCAUAGCAACAGUUGUCCUCUCUAUCAAAAGCUGCCUUCCAGAAAGGAAGGGGCAGAUCAUAGAAUUUCCUCCAGUAAAUGUAGCUUCUGUGUUCUCCUCUAGGAAGAGUCUGUUUUGAUCCAACUUUGGAUGAACUUCUCAUGCGUCCUGUGGUACCUCUCCCUGCCUCCCUGCACCACACCUCAUUCUUCUUACAGAAAGUGUGCUGUCAAGAGCAGUGAGACAGGUUACCUGAGCUUCCGGUGGGGAGGAAUAUCCUGGAAACAGAGAGGACACUGCUAGAGGCAGUUAAAAUUUAUCUCAUACUCCAGUCCACGAGUGUUUAUGGCCUUACUAUAGUCUUAGAUCCAGUUCUCAGAACAAUAAAACCCUCUUACAACAUUUUUAAUGUCCUAAGCAACUAAGAAAAACUUAGCAAGACUUCCCACGCAAGGGGACAUGUCAAAUUAAUUGUGUCUAAAGUUCUGAACUGUGUUGAAAACAGAAUCUUCAUAAUGGUGUUUUAAAUUGUCUCACUGUAAUUCAAGUGCAGGAAAUGCUGUUGGAAGAAACAGGAGGACGAUUCUUCCUCAGUACUUUCCAAACUUAAUAGGGCCAUAUUUUCUUUCUUUUGUUAAUAAAUGUGAAAUGUCCCACCUUCUACUCUUGUUACUGGAUGGAUGUGGUUUAGCACAAUACUAUUCCAUUAGCAUUUCUGUCCAAACACAAGACAGUAUAAUGCUGAGCUGGAGACUAUAUGAAAAGAAAUUAACCACAAAGACAAUUACAGUUUAAGUAAUUUAAAAAUCUGAGACAUUGUGAAAAGUUGCCAUUUAAAAAAAAAACACCUGAAAUUCCCUGGAAUAUCUUGACCUUUUAUAACUAAACUACAAUACAUAAUUUCACAUUUAUGGUGAAAUUAUGCUCUGAAUUGACUUCAAAAUAUUUCAGUUUCUUUUUCGGAAUUUCAUGGUCUUUGCGGCUAUAUUAACAAAAGGAAAGAAAAGUAAAAAUACCAUGAAGCUAUGAAUUGCUUGUGUUUUUUUCCUUUAGAGAAACCCCGACAAACCUGAACCAUCACUGCAUUUCUCUUUCUUACCACUAGGAGGUACUAACAACAUCAGUGACCAAAAGUUCCCUGUCUAGUAUUUCAAGUGUGAUAAACUAUGGGAAGAAGUCCAGUGAGCCCAAAGAGAAAUAUACUUAUGUUUAUUUGUGAAAAAUCAACUGAUAGUAGUUUUAUUUGAAAAGACAACAUAUAAUGGUCUGUUUUUGCUGUAAUGGGAAAACAAUCAUAAAUUUUGUUACUAAUGUUCAAUCUAGAAAAGUAAUGUAAAGAAGGGAUGCAUAUGAAAAAAAUUCUGUCUUAGUCUCUCAAAUAAAGUAAGCUGAGAUGUACUCUUGGACUCAAUGACAAUACUUCUUGAAAUUUGUACGAAGGUAAAAUAGCAGACAAGUGAGUGGAAAAUGAAUGGAUGAGAUGUUCAUCUCAACCUUGUUUAAAAUACUAUAUAAUGGCUAUAUUAUGCUAUCUCUACAUAGUGGAACACUGUGUAAUCAUUAAAAUGGUGGUGUAAAUCUGUGUUUUUUGCCAUGGAAAGCUACCAUGCAAUAUUAAGUUAAAAAUGCAGGCUACAAAAUAAUGGUUUAAUAUCUCACUUAAAGAAUUGAAUGAUAGGAAAACCAUGGAAAAUAUUCACUGAAAUUGUUACCUUUAGUUAAUACCAACCCUGAUACUAGUUCCCCUACAUUAAACCCAGCGUACAUGGGGUUAAAACCAAAAGCACUCACCCCCUCUCCAAGCUUCUUUAGUUGCAUUCAUAUGUAAAUAUCUGUUUCUCUAAACUUUGACUCCCUGAGCUUUAGAACCAAAUAGAAGUUACAAAUUGUUAAAGCCCAGGUGGCUUCAUGCUUGGCUCACAAUAAAGUUUUGGCUAAUCAUGGGUCCUUG